GUAAGGAAUAUUGCGCAAUGGAGGCAACUCUGACGCAGCCAUGCCGCGUGCAGGAAGAAGGCGCUACGCGUUGUAAACUGCUUUUAACCGGGAAGAAACCCCAGGACGUGUCCUGGGUUGACGGUACCGGAGGAAUAAGCACCGGCUAACUUCGUGCCAGCAGCCGCGGUAAUACGAAGGGUGCAAGCGUUAUCCGGAUUCAUUGGGUUUAAAGGGUGCGUAGGCGGAGCGUUAAGUCAGUGGUGAAAUCCUGCAGCUUAACUGUAGACUUGCCAUUGAUACUGGCGCUCUUGAGUGCGCUUGAAGUGGGCGGAAUGUGCCGUGUAGCGGUGAAAUGCUUAGAUAUGGCACAGAACACCAAUUGCGAAGGCAGCUCACUAAGGCGAUACUGACGCUGAGGCACGAAAGCGUGGGGAUCGAACAGGAUUAGAAACCCUGGUAGUCC
rnacentral:rRNA from 1 species